GUGGUUGUAGCUCAACUGGACAGAGCACCUGGCUGUGGCCCAGGUUGUUGCGGGUUCGAGUCCCGUCAACCACCCCA
rnacentral:tRNA from 1 species